AAGAUUAAGCCAUGCAUGUCUAAGUAUAAGCAACUAUACAGUGAAACUGCGAAUGGCUCAUUAAAUCAGUUAUCGUUUAUUUGAUAGUACCUUACUACUUGGAUAACCGUGGUAAUUCUAGAGCUAAUACAUGCUAAAAAUCCCGACCUCCGGAAGGGAUGUAUUUAUUAGAUAAAAACCAAUGGCUUCGGCCUCUUUGGUGAUUCAUGAUAACUUAACGAAUCGCAU
rnacentral:rRNA from 1 species